rnacentral:rRNA from 1 species
AAGGACUUUGAAGAGAGAGUUCAAAAGGGCGCGAAACCGCUUAGAAUAAAACGGACGGAGCCGUCGGUGGCCUUCCGGAAUCAGUCGUACGACGCGCGAUGGCGCGUUUUGUCGGAGCGAAAGUCCGGCGGGCGCGUUGGGAGAUAGUAGCGUUCGUUCGAUGCAUUUCCGGAGGGUAUGCGCCGCGACCGAUGCGAGUGCUAGCGAAUCCGGCGAUUUGAGGUGGAAACCCCUCACGGGGUCUUCAUUACCAGUUCGUCGGCUUGUAAUCGCUAGACGUAAGCAUCGAGCGCGUAAUAUAACAGACACUGGUUAAGAUGCUCGCUCAAGCGGUGGAUAGUCGGCGGAAUUUGCCGUACCUGCUCGCAGGUUAUGCGAAUUACCGUUCGGCGUUUGAAACCGCAGGCGAGUUGGUGUCCUGGCGUCAGCGGCGUCCGAGACGGUCAACCGUCCGACCCGUCUUGAAACACGGACCAAGGAGUCUAACGUACGCGCGAGCUAAUGAGUGGAAAACUCAUAAGCGCAAUAAAAGUAAAAGGUACGAUCCCGGGGUAUUUACUUAUCCAGGGCGCAGUACCGUCCCAUCCUGAUCGCUUGUCGGUAGGGUGGAGAUUGAGUGCCUACGUUGGGACCCGAAAGAUGGUGAACUAUGCCUGAGCAGAGCGAAGCCAGAGGAAACUCUGGUGGAGGUUCGUAGCGGUUCUGACGUGCAAAUCGAUCGUCAGACUUGGGUAUAGGGGCGAAA